UACGUAGGGGGCAAGCGUUGUCCGGAAUCAUUGGGCGUAAAGAGCGUGUAGGCGGCCAGAUAAGUCCGCUGUGAAAACUCGAGGCUCAACUUCGAGCUGUCGGUGGAAACUAUUUGGCUAGAGUCCGGAAGAGGAGAGUGAAAUUCCUGGUGUAGCGGUGAAAUGCGCAGAUAUCAGGAAGAACACCCGUGGCGAAGGCGGCUCUCUGGUACGGAACUGACGCUGAGACGCGAAAGCGUGGGGAGCGAACAGG
rnacentral:rRNA from 1 species